UACAGAGACCUCAAGCGUUAUCCGGAAUCAUUGGGCGUAAAGCGUACCGAUAGGUGGUUUAACAAGUCAGAAGUGAAAUCUUCGAGCUCAACUCGAAAUCUGUCUUUUGAAACUGUUAAACUAGAAGGGCAAAGAGGAAGCUGGAACGAACGGUGUAGUAGUGAAAUGCGUUGAUAUCGUUCGGAACACCAAUAGCGUAGGCAGGCUUCUGGGUGCCACUUGACACUGCUAGGACGAAAGCGUGGGUAGCGAAUGGG
rnacentral:rRNA from 1 species